rnacentral:rRNA from 1 species
CCUACGGGAGGCAGCAGUGAGGAAUAUUGGUCAAUGGACGAGAGUCUGAACCAGCCAAGUAGCGUGAAGGAUGACUGCCCUAUGGGUUGUAAACUUCUUUUAUAAAGGAAUAAAACGAGGCACGUGUGCCUUUUUGCAUGUACUUUAUGAAUAAGGAUCGGCUAACUCCGUGCCAGCAGCCGCGGUAAUACGGAGGAUCCGAGCGUUAUCCGGAUUUAUUGGGGUUAAAGGGAGCGUAGAUGGGUUGUUAAGUCAGUUGUGAAAGUUUGCGGCUCAACCGUAAAAUUGCAAUUGAUACUGGCAGUCGUGAGUACAGUUGAGGUAAGCGGAAUUCGUGGUGUAGCGGUGAAAUGCGUAGAUAUCACGAAGAACCCCGAUUGCGAAGGCAGCUUACUAAACUGUGACUGACAUUGAUGCUCGAAAGUGUGGGUAUCAAACAGGAUUAGAUACCCCUGUAGUC